GGAAAAGUCGCCGUCAUCGGAACUUCCUCACCGGUCAACCGCCGGCCGCCAGAGUUCUUCAAGCUCUUCCUUUCUGAUCAGAGCUCUCAACAACUAGUAUUGCCAAAGGACUUCAGUAGAAAAUUUGGGGAGAAAAUGAAAGAAAGAAGCAAAAUUAAAGACUUAUGUGGGAAUGUUUGGGAUGUAUGUAUUGAAAAGAGUGAAGAUGGAGUUGUUACUUUCAU
rnacentral:misc_RNA from 1 species